AGCAGGUAUCUUACGUACCGUAUCCUAUACGUAUACGGUAUAAUAUUAAAAUUGUUUGUGACAGAGAGCGUCCCGGGACGUUUUUGUCACCGUAUCGUCUCCAUCUUCAAGGACCACUCUGCUGUUCUUGAUUUUAAUAUGCAAGACUCGAUUCAGUGCUGACUAUGGCCGGUUGGUUGCUCGGAAAUUUCCCCUAAAGGGGGUUGAAAGUAAAGAGCACAGACAGUAAGGUGGUUGACACAGGGGGUGCUUUCUUUAUCUUUUUUUUUUUUUCCUCUUCUUUUAUUUUCUUUCCUUAGCAAUGGUUUCUUUUUUCUCUCCUUUUCCUUUUCUUUCUCUCGUUUCGGUCUUUCUAGGCCUGGAACUCAUGUGGUCCAAUCUCUGGGAGACCGUCUUGCACUUGUGUGAAGACUUUUAACAAAGGUAUCAUCUUCCUUUAGACAAAGAAUUUAAUUUUUGGCUUACCUUUAUCUUUUAUUUGUUCUUUUCAGCGCAAGGAACCAGCCAUGCUAAGAUCAACACUUUUCUUCUUCUUUGCAAUAAAGUAGACAGUGAACCAGCGGCGUCGGGAAAGAUGGUAUGGGUCAAAGGGCCAGCCUGGGCACGGUGAACCAGAGACUCAGUUCUCUUGAAUCGAUGGCCAUGAGAUGCCUGUGGGAGCUCUCCUAAGCCUCGGUCUGUAAUGCCAACAACUGUGUCAGUGUUUACGCCAGUGACGGCCCUUUGUGUCUUGGUUUUGACUCUGUCACGGCCAAAAGAACGAAGAAAGGCUGGCUUUGUACGCCUUAACUUACCCUAAAUGUGUCAUCUGUACGCUGACAGCAUCCCAACUUAAGCACCUUCUUUUCUUAGCUAA